rnacentral:lncRNA from 1 species
GGCUAUAUAAUCGUAUUAUAAGUAACAGUGAAAAUAUAUUUUUAAAAUAGUGGACUUACAAUCAAAACUAAUAACUCAAUGGGUGAAAUGGUAAGAUGAAAAAUGAUGAUGACCUUGUCUACUUUGUUGUUUUCCUGUGGGCUAGGGUUGUCAUUAUAUUAUGAAUGAUUUUUGAGCAUGUGAGAAUUGUUGAGUUGCCAAAACAAACAAAGCUUCCUCAAUUGAGUAUCAACACAAAGGAACUUGACGUCCUCCCUUUCAUCUCAAGUUUCUCUCUUUAUUUAUGCAUCUACAUCACAAGAAAAAUUGUUAACAAAAAUAAAUGAAUUUAGACUACAUCAUGCAAACUUCAUAUAUUGGUACAUUACAUACUAAUGUAUAUAUUAAGAAAAAAAAGUAAUUAUUAUAUCAUCAAAAUAAUUUUCCUCAAGUACUCAAGGUUAUGGAAUAUAUCAUCUUAGGGUAGAACAACUUACUUCAUCAGAAUAGUGGUACCUCAUAUUCCGCUAAACUUCUAACUCACUCAAUGACAAUAAAUCACAAAAAUAAUAAUAUUAAAAUGUAAGAAGAAGAAGAG